UAAAUACUCCCUCCGUCCGGAAAUACUUGUCAUUGAAAUGGAUGUAUCUAGAUGUAUUUUAGUUGUAGAUACAUCCAUUUUCAUCCAUUUUGAUGACAAGUAAUUCCGGACGGAGGGAGUAUAGG
rnacentral:pre_miRNA from 1 species